rnacentral:lncRNA from 1 species
AUGAGUAAUACUACUGUUUCUCAGAUAAGCCAUGUGCUUCUGAGGGCAAGUAGUCUAGAUGAACACUAGAGCGCCUUAAGAGAGUCCAUGACUGAGCAAUAAGAUGGUGAGGUUCUAAAAUGGCGACUUUUUUCAUCACCUUCCGGACCUGAGAACAAAUCUUGGCUACUUAAAACAGGCCUGUGCAGCCUUUUCUCCUCUCAUUGGUGCCCCUGCCAGUGAGCAAAUCCAAAUAGUUCAAGGCCAGAGCAGGAUGUGGUUUUUGAUUGACACAGUAAGAUGAACGAACUUGCUCUUUGUUUCAUUAUGGUGAAUAUAUUCAAAAUCACUUGGGCUAGCUUUAGAAAUAUGGUACCUUGUUGUGAGCAGUAUUCAUCCUACUGUGUCUUUGAACACCAAAUUUGAUACCACUUUGAAGAAAUUAAUAUCUGUUCUGUCUCUACUUCCCUCCAGCCUCUGGCAAGAGAUAUUUUUACUUGCUUGUGUGUUCACAAUAGCCAGCACAUGGAACACACUAACAGGCUUCUCUGCUGACUGAAUAAGCCAAUUUGAGCUGAAUUAAAAGUAGAAAAGCCUAUUUGUUUCAGAACAGUUCCAGGGCAAGUUCACUGGUCUCAGGGGACAAGACGGAAGUCCUGUAGGCUAUGGCAGAGAAGGCUUUUAUAGAUUGUUGGUGAAGGAAAAUGACCUGCCUGCCACAAGCUGGGCUUGAGCCCCAGUGUGGUCACCUAGGCUGGGGACAAAGGUUGCUACAGCUAUCAUGAAUGCGGAACUGGACUUUUGGUGCCAGGGCUGGGGUUGUGGGAGGUACGCAGUGUGCGCCAAGUCAAAGGCUCCAACCAAACAGACAUCAGCAUCUAUCAGUGGAUGAGUGUGGAAAAACUGUGAUACUUACUCCCAUAUAUACUGGAAUACUAUGCACUAGUAAGAUAGGAUGUCUUUUGUGACAACAUGGGUGGAUCUGGGUGACAUGCUGAGACAAAUUAGUCAGGCACUGAAAGGCAACAUUGUUCAUCAGUUGUAGAGGGGUUUGUCAGCUAAAAGCAGACAGGAGUUUCCACUCUUUUCUUGGAUUGGAAAGAUUUUUGAAAUCACAGUGCAGAACUAGAAAUCACAAUGAAACCAAACCACUCCAAUAUGAAGGGGUUUAGAAAUCUCCCAAGAUUUACUUUCUAUAGGAGUGUGAGGAGGGCUGAGGAGUGCUCCCAGGGGAAGCUCGAUUGCUCACAGCAACACAUGGCUGAGAGGUGCUGAGGCUCGAAAUGAGCACAGUAGAAUUUAUUAUACUAUCUUUUUAUAUUCUGUAGAACUAGAAAGAAUGAAGCCAGGGAGUUCUGUGUGGAUCCAAAGGAAACAGUUCAGUGCCUUAAAGCUUUCUUUCUAAUCCUAAGGAUUCUUUUCCUGCUUGUUAAUGUAAUAGAAGCUUCCUGGUAUGUUAGGUGUGUGAAAAUGAGUGAAAUGAAAGGGUUAAAGUCAGUGAAAACUCUGUAAAAAGUAUAAUUUACAUCCAGUAAAAUUAAUUCAAUUCUGUGAAUUUUGAAAACUAUAUAAUCUUGCAUUCUUCAUCAUGAUAUAUAGGGGCUGAAGAUUUGGCUCAACCAUUGAGAGCAUUUAUUGCUCUUGCAGAGGACUGGGGUUUCAUUCCAAGCACCCAUAUGGUGGCUUACACACCCACCCCUAAUUCCAAUUCCAGGGAUCCAAUAUACUUGUCUAAGCUCUUCUAAUACUAAUCAUGCCUGUAGUAUACAUACAUACAUACAUACAUACAUACAUUCUAGCAUACAGGCCAACAAAGCACUGUUACAUGUAAGAUAAAUAAGACUGAAACAGUCAUUUUAAAAGUACAUACACAUCGCUUCUCAGCCUUUUGGCUAAGUCAAGUGUAAAAGUAUAUACAGACCCCAUACCCUAUCUCAGUUUCCCCAUUGUCUGCUGCAGACUCUCCCUGCUCCUCUACCUCAGCUGUGAGUACUCACCUUUCCAGAUGCCAUAAAAUGUGUCCAUGAAGCAGAGAGGUCCCACCUGAGUUCUUUCAGCUUGUCACAGCAAUGCCCUCUGUUCAUCACUCACACUGCAGUGCUUAUCAGUAGCAUGUCAGAAACAAGCAGUGCUGGAGAGAUGCUGAGAGACCAUGUCUACAGCACUGCUGUCAGAACCAUGCUCUGAGUUCAGAAUUUUGCAUGAGUCUCACCAGCAAAUAUUAUACAAAGAUGUUGUGAAAGGCUGUCAGGAAACUUCUAGAGAAGUGAGAGGAGGAGGUUAGUAGUGGCUGUUGGGUGUCUCCUCUCAAAUGAAACUGCCACUCCCUGUAGUUCUCUGACUUGGUUUGCAUAAGCUUACUGGAAGGCUUAGUUUAGGGACUUUUUGGGUAAGAAGCCCUUGGGAUAUUUUGCCUGUUAAAGUGGCAUGAGAUAGGGCAAGCCCAGGCUUGUGUUCUGAGUUGUUUCUUGUGUUGAGAGAAGGUUUACCUUGUCAUCAGCUUGGGGAUAAUAUUUCAAUGGUCACAAAUGUAUCAUUUUCACAGGGAUCCUUAAAGCUGUUAUAAAUAUUCACAUAAAGAUAUCGUGCCACUUAAAUGCAGGCUGUCCUUUCCAGCAUGGGGAUAUGUGGGUGGAUGGGAGCAUAUCAUAUUUUAUACUUACAAACAGUUUUGUAGUAGCUGUACAAUUUAGCUUUAAAAAGGCGUGUUAGUUCUACAUCAACAUUGAUAUCCACAUCAAUGUAUAACCAUCCUGUUGUCCAGACAGUGAUUUUGCUCUUAAAUCUAAGAUGAUUUUGCCCAAGACAAGUUCACAAAUAUUCUCCCUUAUUUUUCUAAAUAUCAAAUGUCUAUGAUAUUAAGGUUUGUGCUUGGGUCUAUAUGUCUACAAAUGGACUGUAGUAGUUUGUGUUUAUUUUAUUUUAUUUUAUUUUAUUUCAUUUUUAAAAUAAAAAUACAUCUUUAUGUGU